UACGUAGGGGGCAAGCGUUAUCCGGAUUUACUGGGUGUAAAGGGAGCGUAGACGGCAGAGCAAGUCUGAAGUGAAAGCCCGCGGCCCAACUGCGGGGCUGCUUUGGAAACUGCCCGGCUAGAGUGCUGGAGAGGUAAGCGGAAUUCCUAGUGUAGCGGUGAAAUGCGUAGAUAUUAGGAGGAACACCAGUGGCGAAGGCGGCUUACUGGACAGUAACUGACGUUGAGGCUCGAAAGCGUGGGGAGCAAACAGG
rnacentral:rRNA from 1 species